UGUUUUAUAUAUAAAGAUGGGACACUCUUACCAUUACCAGUUUUUCAAACUAAUUCUAUUUACAUAUAACAAAACAAAAAUAAAAUCAAAAUACAAAAAAUUUGAUUAUCAGUUUUAACGGUUAAAACCAUGGACCAAACGACACAUGAACAGAUCGACCAAUUUAGUAGACCGUUAGAUUUUUUAAUAUACCCUAAAUACCGACAAAUAAUCUUAGAUGGUUUUCCCUUUAGUGGAGACAAGCAAGAUUAUAAGCCAGUAGUCGAAUUGUUUGAUAUAGUAGACGCAAAAACACCAGAUUGGAAUGAAAUAAACCAGGCAAUGGAGAAAAUACCUGAUCGUCUACAUUUUAAGAAAGUAUAUUUUAAGAAAGAUGAUACCGGUGAUAACGCUAUAAAAA